rnacentral:rRNA from 1 species
CCCUUAGAUGUUCUGGGCGGCCCGCGCACUACAUUGGCACUAGCAAAGAGAUCCUAGAUUGAAUUCUUUGGGGUAUUCUUCUAAAUGGUGUCGUGACUGGGAUAAAUCCUUGUAAUUAUUGGUUUUGAACGAGGAAUUCCUUGUAAUCGCGGUUUAUCAGCUCGCGUUGAAUGCGUCCCUGCCCUUUGUACACACCGCCCGUCGCUCCUACCGAUAGAUCGUCCGGUGAAGCUCACGGAGUGACUGUUCACGCAACGGUUUACGAAGUGAAAUGGACCUCACGAUUUAGAGGAAGGAGAAGUCGUAACA